rnacentral:lncRNA from 1 species
UUUGAUUGUGUAUGCAGUUUCUAUGCAAUUUGAUCAUGGCAACUAAGAUCAAAAUUUGUGUAUGUAGUUUCUAUUUUGUGAAUUACUGGGUGUCUGGAUAUACAUUCAGGUUGUGUAUGCAGUUUCUAUACAAAUUAGAGUGAAUAAUGAUAUUUCUUUAAAAUGUAUUUCAGAAGAAUUCUUAUUGGAAUGCUUCCGUUAGUGAAACUGUGGUGAAGCAAUAAUGGUUAGAGAAGGCUGCACUAUGCUACAGAAAUUUCAUUUCUAAUUUAAAGAAACACAGAGUUACAGUUUAACCGGAUUAAGCGUGUUGAUGGUAUUAGGGCACAAGAAGGGGCCGUGCUUGAUCCUCCUACUAAUGAUGAUAACGUUGAUUCAUAGCUUCAUAGUAUUCGUAAUGAUGAUAACGUUGAUUCAUAGCUUCAUAGUAUUCGUAGUUCUUCAUCGUUGCAUUAUUUUUGAUAGACUAUUAUGUGUGGAAGUACAAAAUAGUUGUGUAGUAACAAAUACUAAUUUUGAUGAAUGUGGGUUUGACAUUAGUUUAUUUUGAUAAAAUAUUUGAACUUGUGGAUGUUUG